GACGAACGCUGGCGGCGUGCCUAAUACAUGCAAGUCGAGCGAAUCAAAGGGAGCUUGCUCCCUAAGAUUAGCGGCGGACGGGUGAGUAACACGUGGGUAACCUGCCUGUAAGACUGGGAUAACUUCGGGAAACCGGAGCUAAUACCGGAUAGUUUCUUUUCUCGCAUGAGAGAAGAUGGAAAGAUGGUUCUGCUAUCACUUACAGAUGGACCCGCGGCGCAUUAGCUAGUUGGUGAGGUAACGGCUCACCAAGGCGACGAUGCGUAGCCGACCUGAGAGGGUGGUCGGCCACACUGGGACUGAGACACGGCCCAGACUCCUACGGGAGGCAGCAGUAGGGAAUCUUCCGCAAUGGACGAAAGUCUGACGGAGCAACGCCGCGUGAGCGAAGAAGGCCUUCGGGUCGUAAAGCUCUGCUGUUAGGGAAGAACAAGUAUCGGAGUAACUGCCGGUACCUUGACGGUACCUAACCAGAAAGCCACGGCUAACUACGUGCCAGCAGCCGCGGUAAGAC
rnacentral:rRNA from 1 species